UAGUAGUAGUUGUGUUGUCAACUCUAAACAAGAGAAAACCUAAAUUCAAGUUAUGCUACAAGUAGUAGUAAUAUUAAUAGUAGUUGUGUUGUCAACUCUAAACAAGAGGAAACUUAAAUUCAAGUUG